rnacentral:rRNA from 2 species
AAAGUUUGACCUCAAAUCAGGUAGGAUUACCCGCUGAACUUAAGCAUAUCAAUAAGCGGAGGAAAAGAAACCAACAGGGAUUGCCUUAGUAACGGCGAGUGAAGCGGCAAAAGCUCAAAUUUGAAAUCUGGCACUUUCAGUGUCCGAGUUGUAAUUUGAAGAAGGUAACUUUGGAGUUGGCCCUUGUCUAUGUUCCUUGGAACAGGACGUCACAGAGGGUGAGAAUCCCGUGCGAUGAGGUGUCCAAUUCUAUGUAAAGUGCUUUCGAAGAGUCGAGUUGUUUGGGAAUGCAGCUCUAAGUGGGUGGUAAAUUCCAUCUAAAGCUAAAUAUUGGCGAGAGACCGAUAGCGAACAAGUACAGUGAUGGAAAGAUGAAAAGAACUUUGAAAAGAGAGUGAAAAAGUACGUGAAAUUGUUGAAAGGGAAGGGCUUGAGAUCAGACUCGGUAUUUUGCAAGCCUAUCCUUCGUGGAGAGGUUUAUUAGCAGCUUACCGGGCCAGCAUCGGUUUGGAUGGUAGGAUAAUGGCAUUGGAAUGUGGCUCUUCGGAGUGUUAUAGCCUUUGUUGAUACUGCCUAUCUAGACCGAGGACUGCGUCUUUGACUAGGAUGCUGGCGUAAUGAUCUUAAGCCGCCCGUCUUGAAACACGGACCA